rnacentral:lncRNA from 1 species
CUUGGUUGAAUCUUAGUGACCUGGAGGCAUCCCAUUUGUUCUGCUGCACGCUUACAGUGAAUGGAGAUGCAUCUCGGGAACUUGGCUUCUCAGAUGGCUUCUCCUUUUUCUGAAUACUAGGUGAAGAAGUCCCUUUCUUUGGGUGUUUAUAGAAUUUCUUUAGCUUCUCCUUUCUCCCUGGUUUCCUGCAUACUUCUUCUUCAUCCCCCACUUCAUCCUCAGUGACUUCAG